CUCGGAUUAGACGCAGCACAUACACAGACGAGGAAAUAAAGCAGCAAGGACCUGCACAACUGCAUGACUUUCACUUGAAUGUGGAGAUUUCGUAGUUCCUGAACCCCAAAGAAGUUUGUGCCAAACAUUCAAUCCCAAUGAAGAUAAUUGGAUAAAUGACAUGUAUUCAAAACAGGUACAUUUGCUUGAGUCAGAACUGCUUAAGCGUAUCAGUCGAACACCUCGACUACAAAGCUUUAAUGGUCUAAUGGGUAAAAAAUCAGGUAAUAAUGUUUUAAUCAAUUUUAUCAUCAAUUUCUAAAAUCUGUUGAUGACAUUAGGUUUAAAAUGCGUUGCUUUUUUGUGCAGCAAAAUCCCAAAUAUCUCGAAAUCGUAAGUUAGCUCAAUUUUGACCUUCAGAAUCUGUUUUGCUUAUUUGAUUGAAUAAUUAAAUUUGAUUUACGACUAUCACUGAUUUCUUAACUGACAUGGUAGAUUAAAAUCCUGGGCCUUUCAUUUUGUAAAAUCUAAUAUUUAAUAUGCAUCACUUGCAGGGCAGAAAUUUCAGAAGUUCCAGACCUUUGUGGGUUUGAUGGGAAAAAGGAAUGUGGCAGAUCCUGGUAAAACGUAAGAUUUCCUUUUAUAAUGAUAAUCUAGUACGAACUGUAUAAAAAUCCUGAUUUUUUUUAGGUUCCGUCUACGAAGAAAUCAAGCACAGUGACUUUGCAUUGAACUCAAGGUCAAAACUUCAGGCAUGGUUGUGAAAAAAAAAAAAAGAUAAUCAUUUAGCGUCCAGAUACUUUUGGUCUUGAUUUUGCAACCUGUUAUUUAAUCAAUUAUCUUAUCAACCCUAUUUUUUAACUAUUUGUUUGUAAAAGGCACUAAUCAAUUGUAUCUGUUUUAAAUGGCUUAAAUAUCUUAAUAAUUUUGGAGUCACUGUGUUAUUUUAUUUUAUGUACUUCAUUUCAUUAACAAUUAAAAUGUCUCAAUAGCGCCCCCUAGUGUCUAAAGGACAAUUUCUUUUUGAUGUCUUUAAAUGAAAUAUCAAUUUCAUCAAUAUUAAAAUAUGUUAAGCAUAUGUUGUGUGUUCUAAAACAAUAACUUCUGCAAUAAACACAAUCAA